CCUACGGGAGGCAGCAGUGAGGAAUAUUGGUCAAUGGGCUUAAGCCUGAACCAGCCAAGCCGCGUGAGGGAAGACGGUCCUAUGGAUUGUAAACCUCUUUUGUCGGGGAGCAAAAGCCGCCACGCGUGGCUUUCCGAGAGUACCGGAAGAAAAAGCAUCGGCUAACUCCGUGCCAGCAGCCGCGGUAAUACGGAGGAUGCGAGCGUUAUCCGGAUUUUUUGGGUUUAAGGGGUGCGAAGGCGGAAGAUCAAGUUAGCGGUAAAAUUUAGGGGCUCAACUUCUUCGAGCCGUUGAAACUGGUAUUCUUGAGAGAGGUAGAGGUAUGCGGAAGGUGUGGUGUAGCGGUGAAAUGCUUAGAUAUCACGCAGAACUCCGAUUGCGAAGGCAGCAUACCGGCGCUCAACUGACGCUCAUGCACGAAAGUGUGGGUAGCGAACAGGAUUAGAUACCCUUGUAGUC
rnacentral:rRNA from 1 species